UUCAUGUCUUGCUCAAUUUAAAUCCCACGUGAGACAGCUCACUUUUCGAGGUUCAUUUAAAUUCCAUUGCGCGACGUAGAUCGCGAGAGACGUGCGUAGAUCAGCUGAUUCGAAAACAGAGCGUGUAUUAACGUCGAUAAAAGGACGUUAAGACUCCAACUAAAGCCUGUGCAAUUAGGAAAAGUACUGCACUGACGAAUAACAUGAAGGAUUGCGUAUAUACCAGUAGCAUGUAUAUACAAUACCAACGUUCCUAGCACGUCUAACGCAUAAUUAUGCGUUGCACGAGAUUUUAACGAAAGUAACGCCAGGAAGAAAAGAAAAGUAAUGAGAGAGACGUUAGAGAAUUUCCUGGAUAGUUGGCGCCAACUGUGACCUCCUUUAAUGAGGCGUGCUCGAGGAAGGCACGCGUUUAACUGGCACAAUGUUUCUUGCGGAGAGCUCUACUCACGCUACUUGCUUGCUGGCUGCUCCCCUCUCGUAAAUUAUUCCGCGAGGGAUCAAGGCCCCGCGAGUAACAAUGAACUUUUGGUGCCCUCUCAUAAUGUCGCGUCAUCGCGAACAAAUUCAAUGUCAUCAAAUUGCUUAUGUAUCACAUUCUGUGUUUGUUCAAAUAGAAAAAAUAAAAAGUAAGUAAAAGGAAAAAGCGCGAGAUACAUGAAUUUUUGAUGAAAGAAUGCAACGUGGCAAAAUGCAUCUAUAGGGUGCAUGCCUUAACGAUAACAACCGAUCUCGAGACGCUUCAUCGAUAUUUUGCGUGAGAUUCAUACUGCAAAUGAAAAAAAAGCGAAAAAAGCGAAAAAAAAGAGACAGAGAAGAAGACUCCCGGCGAUCGCAUUAUUCAGAUUAGGGCAUCGACAGAGGAACGGCUGCAUGGAUAUGUGAGAAGAAACAUGUCCUCUCUUUCUUUCUCUCACAUGGACGCAGUGUGAGAGACGUGUGUAGACAUUUGUAUCGGUAGAAGAUAAUGCAUCUGAUCGUGCACAAGCGAAGAAUGUUAAUGGUGGUUCGGUUUUGUAUGCAGGAAGUGACGGCCGUCUCUUGUGUCGUGUAGCGGGGCCUGGCGCCCGGUGUCCGCUCGGAAAAAAGCCCCCAACGUAAAUGCGAUAAAGAGAGAAAGAAAGAGAAGAAAAGGGGGAGGGAGGAAUAUGAAAAAUUGACGGAUUCACCCAUAGCCGCGAACCGAGGAGAGCGGCAGCAAGUUGCUCUUUUAAAUCUCAUCGUAAACACGCGUUCGCAGUGGCUCUCAUAUCCAUUGAUAUCGAACGAUUUUAUUUUAAGGGAUGUUUUUAUCGAAAUUUUUACAAA